rnacentral:tRNA from 1 species
UUGAAACUGGUAUCAUGCCGGGCUCAUAAUCCGGAGUUCCAGGUUCGAGUCCUGG